AUUGAACGCUGGCGGCAGGCCAAACACAUGCAAGUCGAACGGUAACAGGAAGAAGCUUGCUUCUUUGCUGACGAGUGGCGGACGGGUGAGUAAUGUCUGGGAAACUGCCUGAUGGAGGGGGAUAACUACUGGAAACGGUAGCUAAUACCGCAUAACGUCGCAAAACCAAAGAGGGGGACCUUCGGGCCUCUUGCCAUCGGAUGUGCCCAGAUGGGAUUAGCUAGUAGGUGGGGUAACGGCUCACCUAGGCGACGAUCCCUAGCUGGUCUGAGAGGAUGACCAGCCACACUGGAACUGAGACACGGUCCAGACUCCUACGGGAGGCAGCAGUGGGGAAUAUUGCACAAUGGGCGCAAGCCUGAUGCAGCCAUGCCGCGUGUAUGAAGAAGGCCUUCGGGUUGUAAAGUACUUUCAGCGGGGAGGAAGGGAGUAAAGUUAAUACCUUUGCUCAUUGACGUUACCCGCAGAAGAAGCACCGGCUAACUCCGUG
rnacentral:rRNA from 1 species